UGCAAGUCGAGCGAGAACGGUUCCUUCGGGAGCCUAUUAAAGCGGCGGACGGGUGAGUAACACGUGGAUAACCUGCCCUUCGGUGGAGGACAACCAUUCGAAAGAAUGGCUAAUACUGCAUACGUCCAUCUACUCUGCGGAGAAGAUGGGGAAAGGCUUCGGCCGCCGAAGGAGGGGUCCGCGGGGCAUCAGCUUGAUGGUGGGGUAACGGCCUACCAUGGCUAAGACGCUUAGCUGGUCUGAGAGGAUGAUCAGCCACACUGGGACUGAGACACGGCCCAGACUCCUACGGGAGGCAGCAGUGGGGAAUAUUGGACAAUGGGCGAAAGCCUGAUCCAGCCAUGCCGCGUGAGUGAUGAAGGCCUUCGGGUCGUAAAGCUCUGUGGAGGGGGACGAAAAAAAUGACGGUACCCCUUUAGCAAGCACCGGCUAACUCCGUGCCAGCAGCCGCGGUAAUACGGAGGGUGCAAACGUUGCUCGGAAUUAUUGGGCGUAAAGAGCACGUAGGCGGUCCUAUAAGUCGGAUGUGAAAGCCCUCGGCUCAACCGAGGAAGUGCAUUCGAAACUGUAGGACUUGAGUUCGGGAGAGGGUCACGGAAUUCCCGGUGUAGAGGUGAAAUUCGUAGA
rnacentral:rRNA from 1 species